GCGGAAAUAGCUCAGUUGGUAGAGCAACAGCUUCCCAAGCUGUGGGUCGCGGGUUCGAGUCCCGUUUUCCGCUCCA
rnacentral:tRNA from 3 species